rnacentral:tRNA from 1 species
GUCUCCGUAGUUUAAUGGAUAGAAUUUCAGAUUCCGGUUCUGAAGGUCGGGGUUCGAUUCCCCGCGGGGAUA